UUUUUGCAGCAUGGGUCAAUUAAGAAAGCUGAAGCUUCUCGGUGUUUUCCUUUCAAUCCUCCUGAAGCAGGCCAUCGGUGUCUCCAACUAAGCAGGAGACUUUUUGUUUCAGACGCGUGAAGCAUAAAGAUCAUGCAUUUAACCAGACGACUGGUGGCCUCCGGUGCAAUUUCAGACCGUCGAGUUGCCUUCAGGAGAUCACCGGGGCUUCACGUUCGGCACCUCCACAGACAAGGCAUCAGAUUAAUUUGAUCGGGUCGAGAUGAUCGGAGGCCGUCCUGUGCGUGCUUUUUUAUUUCUACCAUCGAUGAUACCAUUGGUUGGCAUUCUAGUAUCGAUAAUACCAUUGGUUUACAUUGGAGGGAAGAUCUUAGGGAAGAAAGAACGCGCAUCUGAUCCAUGUGGAAGCAGCGAAAAGGAAGGAGUUGCAGAGCCGAAGGCCGUGGAGGACGAGGCAGCGGGGUCUUCAACGGCCAAACAUGAGGAGCAGGGCAGCUUCGAUUAUGAUGUGUUCAUUAAUUUUAGGGGUAAAGAUACACGGAAUGGCUUCACCACCCACCUCUAUGAGAAACUGAAAAAUCAUGGCAUAAUCACAUUCAUUGACAAUGAAGGCCUGAAGGCAGGGCAAAGAAUGAACGAGCUGUUGAACUGCAUUGAGCGGUCCAAGAUCUUUAUGCCCGUCUUCUCCGAAAGCUACGCGGACUCCAAACCGUGUUUGAGGGAGAUAGCUAAGAUGGUGGAGAUCAACAAAAAAGAAGGCGAUCAAAGGAGGCCUAUAAUUCCCAUAUUUUAUGACGUUUGUCCUUGUGAUGUCAAGCAUUGCACUGCAUCAAUAAAGAAGGCUUUCAGAAAGCAUCGACGCGAUAAGAAAGUCGGCAGGAAGCAGAUCAAUGAGUGGAAAGCCGCCUUAAAAGAAGCAGGAAGCAUUGCUGGGUUCCGUCCUUCUCAAACUGGAGGGAACGAGGCAAAACUAAUCAGGCGCAUACGUAGACGGGUCUCUAGUAUAUUAAGUGACACAGGAGUAGAAAAAGGCAGUGCUUGCAUGACCGGAACCAGUGGUGUAGGUGGAGUCGGGAAGACCCCGUCGAUGAUGGCGCUUUGUAAGGAGCUCUCCCCUGCGUUUGACGGCAUUUGCUUCCCCUCGAACAUCAGACAAACUGAAGACGGGGAGGGCCUACUUCCGUUGCAAUUAGCCAAACUCCUGAACGAAAUCUUAAGGAAAAACACGACUGUAGGCAAUGCUGGACAAGGAGUUAGCUUGACCGAACAAAGGCUUGGAAGCAAGAAACUUCCCUUCAUUUCGGAUGAGAUACUGAAUCGCACAUGUCAACUUGGUUUUUUUACAGCCGACCGUGGAAAAAGGGAAGAAUGGUUCAAUGGAGGGAGUCAGAUUAAUAUUGUGAAAACAAGAAACAAAGAGGCACUCCCCUGUCAUGGACUGCAAGAGGUAGGAAUUUAUUUCCCAAAAGAAUUGGAUGGAGAGCAACUACUGCAACUAUUCUUUCACCAUGCAUCCAGUAGCAGCCAAGAGUUGCCCCCCGCACUCAUACUAUUUGGGUCGCCCCUUGGUUUGGAAGCGUUGAAAAGUGAUCAGCAUGAGAAUGUUCAGGAGCUACGAAGGAUAAGCUACAGAAGCCUAGAGCCUUGGGCAAAGUGUGCCUUUUUAGACAUAGCAUGUUUCUUUAUUGGACAGAAAAAAGAAUACUCUGUUUACAUGUGGGUGGCGUGUGGUUAUCCCCCAGGAAUCGCACACCAAGAAGAAGGCAAUGCGAAGGUUUCCUUGGAGGGAUCGACUUCUCGGGAGUACCUGACAGUGCAAUCGGACAUGCACUUGAAGAUGGAGGAGAGAUUUGCCUCGCAAAUAACAUGGGAUGGUUCAGUUCGAAACAGUGUUCCAAUGAGACGCUCACGUUUCACAAUGGCCGGCAUGAGAAGCUCUGUGUCCGUCGCGAUCAAUCCGGAUGUUGUUCUCUGGACUUCGGAUCUAGUAGCAUGUUAGUUUGUUCUUUCUCUUUGAAGGGUGAACCAUUGAGACUAUGGCAUUCAACUAGCAGUGGACACGCAUACAGCACCACGAACAAGCAUCAUGAAGAUAAAGAUGAAAGAAGAUAUGUUGCUGAAUCUUAAGGAACUGCUUACACGUUCUAUAUUGGAGAGGAAAAUCAGCCAACUGAUUUUCAGGAAUCAAGAAAUCUUUCCUAUACAUCAAAGAGGAAAAUCAGAAACAAAAUUUCAAGAAAGAAAUUAUAUUCUUUCCAUCUAUUGUUGUCAAUCACAAGAUUGUGAUCCUUCAAUCCCAAAAUUUGUGGGAUCUGUAUAUAACUUUGAACUUAUAUAAAUACCCCAUCCUAUAUGAAAGAAUGUAUCUUUUUUGGCUCACUCGGUUCUUCCAUUCUCUUCCUCACGCCUUUCUUCUCAUGGUAUCAGAGCAGAGUUUCCUUCAUUUCGUAAUAAGGAGUGUAAGAAAGAGAGAAAGAGCCAUUGAGAUCGAGAGGUUGCCCAUUUGUUCUCUAUCUCUCUGAUUUUUUCUACCUGCAACGACAUGAGAAGCAUUGACCACUCGAUUCAUCACCGAAACUGGGCGAGCUCCUGCACUAGGGUGCCGAGUUCGUUGUGGAUCUGCAUUCGCUGGUCGAGGUCGUCCUCCUCGACUCCAUCUUGCUCCUCGCCGGCUUUCUUCAAGACGAGACCCUGCUUCAAUAGCCUCUGCCAUCAAUGCUGUCCAGAAGGUUUUCGCUCAGCGUUGCUGGUCGGGAGGGAGACCAUUUUUCGUGGGGACCUUUGCUGUCCCCUUUCUGCCACUUCUCUUCCGCCCACGCCAUCUGGGCGAAACCCAACACCCUUAUUCCUCACGCCUUCCCGACAGGGCUCCCCCGUCGACUCUGGAUCCUCUUCCUUCUCCAGUUCCUCCUCCGGCUCUCGGUCGCGCUCUAGUUCCCGGUCGUGGUCCCGCUCGAAGUCGUCCUCAUCAUCAACGCGAGGAGCCACAGCCCCGUCCUGCCGAAGAGGAGCAGUCCAGUCAGAGCAGGUAGGCGAGGACGCUCUCCACCUCCCUCCCAAGCUCGAACAACUUUCACUGGUCGGAGGGAGACCGUCCGCCAAGCUCACUGAUGGGUUCGUGGGCCCUUGAGAUUGGGAGGUCAUGGGAGAAAGAUACUGACUGAAGGUUUCUGAGAUCAAGAGAUCUCGGGUGGUUUCCGUCCUCUCUUUCUCAUACUUUCGUUUCUGCUUGGAGGGAGAUUUGUUGCUGGGCUUCUGAAGCAGAAAGGGUACCUGCGGAGAUUUGCCCCCCUCGUGUAAUUGCAAAUGGAAAGGAAUUCUCGCGGAAAGGGUUUCUCUCCGAGUCGUAUUCGGAUCUGUGGCUCCGUGUCUUGAACUAAAUUUUUUGUAGGCAUUCGAUAUUUUUUCUCCAUGGCGACAACUCCUGUGGUUGAUCGGACUGAUAUUUCUGGUGAUCAGAAUGAGUCACCUUUCCUCAUGCACCACUCUGAUAAUCAUGGUGCUAUUCUAGUGACUAAUCCUCUUGUUGGCGACAACUAUUCUACAUGGCGACAGACAAUGAAAAUGGCCCUUAGUGCCAAGAACAAGUUUGGAUUUGUUGAUGGUUCUAUUCCAAAACCCGCAACCACUUGCUCAGACUACAUGGCAUGGGUUCGCUGUAAUGACUUGGUUUUGUCAUGGAUUCUUAACUCAUUAUCCAAGGAGAUAGCAAAUAGCGUUAUCUACGCUAGUGAAGCUCCCGACGUUUGGAUUGAUCUUCAAGAACGUUUCUUCAAGGUAACGCUGCUCGUAUUUAUCAAUUGAAGAAUAUGAUAUCUGAUUUACGUCAAGAACAAAAUUCAUUGGCUGUCUACUUCACUACACUCAAAACUUUUUGGGAUGAACUUGGAUCUUAUUCAACUGUGUCUGCUUAUACUUGUGGUGCAUUUAAAGAGUUUCAUUCAUGUCAAGAUCAUGAAAAAGUUUAUCAGUUCUUAAUGGGAUUGAAUGAAAGUUUUAGCAAUCUUCGAAGUCAGAUUCUUGCUAUCGAUCCUCUACCCAACAUUAAUAGGGUCUAUGCUAUGCUGCUUCAAAAAGAGACUCAACAUCUUCUCACACCAAAAAUGUCUAGAUCCAACAACAUAGCUCUUGCAGUCAGGUCUUCUUCUACAUCAUAUACCAAAAAGAAUCUGGUAAGGAUGCCUAAUGCUACUCGCAAUCGCCCUCGACCAAAAUGUGAUCAUUGUGGAAUGCUCGGGCAUAUAAAAUCUCGAUGCUAUGUGCUUCAUGGUUAUCCUCCAAAUCAUCCUAAGGCUGCAGGUUCAACUGGUGAUUCUUCGAAAAUUGAAAAUGUGCAACAGGGAGGAACAUCGGCCAACAACGUAAAAGUCAGUGCUGUUUUGUCACAACUUACCGAAGAACAGGUCAGUCAAUUGGCAUCUUGGUUAAAUGUUGAUACUUCACCGGCUGCUGCUAAUCUAGCAGGACCCUUUGUCGAGGAAGCUGAUUAGAGUGGGAAACUUGAGCGGUGGACUUUACCAUCUUCUUAUUCAAACUACCUCACAUGCUUUGUUUGCUUCUCCUAGUAAUAAGACAGCUCAUAUGUGGCAUAUGAGACUUGGACAUCCUUCAUUUGAUAAGACUUUUUCAUUGAAUGAAAACAUUUCUAUUUCCAAGCA